UACGGAGGGUGUAAGCGUUAUCCGGAUUUAUUGGGUUUAAAGGGUGCGUAGGCGGAAUUUUAAGUCAGUGGUGAAAUCCUGCAGCUCAACUGUAGAACUGCCAUUGAUACUGAUCUUCUUGAAUUUAGUUGAGGUGGGCGGAACGUGUAAUGUAGCGGUGAAAUGCUUAGAUAUUACACAGAACACCGAUUGCGAAGGCAGCUCACUAAACUAACAUUGACGCUGAGGCACGAAAGCGUGGGUAGCGAACAGG
rnacentral:rRNA from 1 species